rnacentral:lncRNA from 1 species
CAGGAGAAAAAAAAAAAACCAGACUCAUCAGCUCACCAUAUCCUUGUCUUACCACAGCAUUGUUAUCCUUCAGUCACACUCACCGGGAACCUAACUCAGUCAUCAUCAAGGCUCUUUCAGCAAGACAGCAGAGGAGGGAUAACAGCAGAAACCCGCUCCAGACCCCCUUUGGGAGCUGGUCACGAGACCUGUGUUAGCAGUCAUGCCUUCCUCCUCCCGCCCCUCCCGUGGUCCUCUCACCAGCUGCCAGCACUUUGGCUGCUCUGGGCCUUUACUCUGUGUGUGUGUGUGUGUGUGUAUAUCUGGGUCUUUACAGUGUGUGUGUGUGUGUGUACCUGGGUCUUUACAAUGUGUGUGUGUGUGUGGAGUGUGUAUCUGGGUCUUUACAAUGUGUGUGUGUGUGUACCUGGGUCUUUACAGUGUGUGUGUGUGUGUAUGAGUGUGUACCUGGGUCUUUACAAUGUGUGUGUGUGUGUGUGUGUGUGUGUGUAUCUGGGUUUUUACAGUGUGUGUGUGUGUGUGUCUAUAUCUGGGUCUUUAGAAUGUGUGUGUGUGUAUAUCUGGGUCUUUAGAAUGUGUGUGUGUGUGUGUAUCUGGGUCUUUACAGUGUGUGUGUGUGUAUCUGGGUCUUUACAGAGUGUGUGUGUGUCCUAAGUCUUUAUUCCUAUGGAAUUCAGGUUCGUAUUGGUCUUCAGUUUGUUGGGUUGCCAUUUCUCACUGUCACUAUUAGACGUGGGAGAUCUGAGAGGCGCUCAAUCAGUCCUCUGGAUUCUAGGCAUGGCCUUCUUGCCCACCCUCCCUUUUCUAGAUUCAUCACCCUACCUGGUACACUUGAUCCCCUCUCUACAUUUGAGUUAAGCAAUACACAGAGCUCAAAAUGACCAGAAGGAAGACUACUUGUGACUUCAAGGAACCACAUCUGUGUUCCCUCCAGGCCCACUGAACACAAAGUCGAGAGAGGGAAAGCAAAAAUUCCUCCAGGAGGUUAUUUGGAAUCACAGAAGAGCCACCCUCAUUUCCACUGCUGGGUCCCCAGGUCUCUGCAUCCAGGCUGUGAGAGAGGCGGAGCCACUGAUUUUAAACUUACACUGCAUCCCGCAUGUCAGUAACCCAAGUCGUGGUCUCCCAGCUGGCACUGGAGGUCUCUAUCGACUCAUCUGCUUCUGAGCGAUGGGACUCACUGUGUGUCCAGUGCUUCCAUGGGUGAGACCACUUCUCUGCGCCUUUCACCAAAAAAGGAAAAUAGGCUAUGUGGGGGAUAGCAGAGUGAUGAACAAGCAAGUACAAAAAUGACGAGGCUGGCAGAAGCACUACAGGCGGGGAAGGCAAGUCCAUAGCAGGAAUGCACAUUUAUUACCAAGAGGCAAUAGAUAACUGAUCCUUUAUGAAGCAAGGGGACAGGGCACUCAACCUGCCAAUAGAUAGCUAGCUGGUCCCUGAAGGGUGGUGGUUCUCAAAUUUUUUGAUGUCAGGAUCUUUUUACACUCUUUAAAAUUAUUGAAAGGUUAUACUCUUAAAAAUUGUAAACGGUUUUUGUUGAUGUGGGUUAUAUCUAUUUUACUGGAUUAGAAGUUAAAGCGCUAAACUAUUUAAAACUAAUAAACCCAUUACAUAGUAACA